GUGAUGUGGGUGGCUGGAAGAGCGGAGAGCCAGCGACCGCCGAUCUGUUAGCUCGUGCGACCCAGCGGCGGGGGUCCUCCACUGUUCAUUUCUCUACAACUGAAGGAAAAUACUGUGUGUUGAGCACCUGUGUAGUGCGCGAAUUAAAGGCCUCAUCCUUCUGGAACUUAAAUUUUAAUGAAGCCAUGUGGGCAAUAAAUGUGUGUGUGAGAGAGAGAGAGAGAGAAUGUGACCUGAGUCCAUGGCUAUGACUCCUCCCUCAUCUUUCUGAAGCUCAACCUUGAAUGCUUACAGGACCACUGAAAAAAGAAUCUCUAGGCUCCCCCAAGAGCUCAUUUCCAUCAACAGCUCUGGAAGUGGGUCAUGUUACAUACAAAAAUAAAGACAGCAAGAAGAGCUCAGACGGUGGAACCAGACUGCUUGGGACUGAAAUCGGCAUUUGCCACUUACCAGGUGUGUGACCGCAGGCAAAUGACUUAAUCUUUCUUUGCCUUGAUUUCUUUACUUGUAAUAUGGAGAUUUAUGGCAUAAUAGUAUCUCAAGAUUGCUAUGGAAGUUAAACGUUUAAGUUAAUGUAAAGUGCUUAGAAAGAGGCUGGCAUAUAGUAGUAAUUAUGCAAAUGUUUGUUAAACAAAAUUAAGUUGAUACACACUUAGGGGUUUCCCCCACCCCACUUAGUUCUCAAUACUGAGAAUGCGGGGGAAUUUGUUUUAAAUGUUUACAAAUGUUUACAAAUCUUAAUUUUUUUUCUAUAUUUGAUUAUUUUAAAGAGGAAAGAAGGUAGCUCUUAGAACAAAUUUAGACUUUAAAAAAAAUUCUCAAUCUGUACCCUGACUGUUGUCCCUGAUACUGUUAUCAGGCACUAGAAAAAAAGCAACAACCCAUAAUUGGUUUACCAAAAACAUCACUCAACUGUUUAUGGACGAUAAUUAGCAAUAACGGCUGUCAGUGCCACGGUUCCUCUGUAAAAACGGAGACAACUGUAUCUACUUUAUAUGAUUGUUACAAACAUUUAAUAUUAUUUGUAAAGCACUUAGAACAAUACCAGAGCAGAGUGAACAUUUAAAAAA
ensembl:lncRNA novel transcript, antisense to MAP3K2